CUCGGCCUGUAAACAGACCUAUUUAUCUGUAAUAUUAUGCUUUUGAAACCUUCGUUAUACUGCUUUACCAGUUAUGCUUGAAGCUUUUUAUACAUAUGUUUUACCUCAAAUAAAUAAUUCUUUAUGGCUACAACUUCGCAUUAUGCGAAUUAUUUAAUUUAAAAAAAUUAGGAUUUAUUAUGUCUAAAUCAACUGGUAUCGUUAAGUGGUUCAACGAAGAGAAAGGUUUCGGUUUCAUUACUCAAGAUAACGGCGGCGCUGACGUAUUCGUUCACUUCCGUGCUAUCGCAACUGAAGGUUUCAAAACUCUGAAAGAAGGCCAAGCGGUAACUUUCACUGUUGAACAAGGUCAAAAAGGCCCACAAGCUGCAGACGUUACUCCAGCUUAAUUCGAAUUUUUCGAAUAGAAUUUUUAAAAAUGCUGACUUCGGUCAGCAUUUUUUUU
rnacentral:sRNA from 1 species